GCCAAAAUGAACUUACACAUAGCUGAAGCUUAGAAACAAUGUUGAUGCUAGCAGAGUACACACAAGAAGAAAAGUAACCGCACUAGACUGUAAAGACUGGGGUGGACCUCUUUCUUAAUGUCCAGUGUCCUUUGUCUUAAGAUUUAGUGCAAUAUUU
rnacentral:snoRNA from 1 species